rnacentral:rRNA from 1 species
UUUACCGCGACAUUCUGAUUCGCGAUUACUAGCGAUUCCAGCUUCAUGUAGUCGAGUUGCAGACUACAAUCCGAACUGAGACGUUAUUUUUGAGAUUUGCUCMCCCUCACAGGCUCGCUUCCCUUUGUUUACGCCAUUUAGCACGUGUGUAGCCCAAAUCAUAAGGGGCAUGAUGAUUUGACGUCAUCCCCACCUUCCUCCAGGUUGUCCCUGGCAGUCUCCCUAGAGUGCCCAUCUUACUGCUGGCUACUAAAGAUAAGGGUUGCGCUCGUUGCGGGACUUAACCCAACAUCUCACGACACGAGCUGACGACAACCAUGCACCACCUGUCUC